CCUACGGGAGGCAGCAGUGGGGAAUAUUGGACAAUGGGCGAAAGCCUGAUCCAGCAAUGCCGCGUGAGUGAUGAAGGCCUUAGGGUUGUAAAGCUCUUUUACCCGGGAAGAUAAUGACUGUACCGGGAGAAUAAGCUCCGGCUAACUCCGUGCCAGCAGCCGCGGUAAUACGGAGGGAGCUAGCGUUGUUCGGAAUUACUGGGCGUAAAGCGCGCGUAGGCGGGUGACUAAGUCAGGGGUGAAAUGCCGAGGCUCAACCUCGGAACUGCCUUUGAUACUGGUCGCCUGGAGUUCGGCAGAGGGGGGUGGAAUUCCACGUGUAGCAGUGAAAUGCGUAGAGAUGUGGAGGAACACCGAUGGCGAAGGCAGCCCCCUGGGCCGAUACUGACGCUCAGGCACGAAAGCGUGGGGAGCAAACAGGAUUAGAUACCCUGGUAGUCCACGCCCUAAACGAU
rnacentral:rRNA from 1 species